rnacentral:lncRNA from 1 species
CUUGAAUAUUAUUACAGAUAUAGAUAAACUGUAAACAGCAAUAAUGUUCAGCAAAGUAAGAUUUACAAAUAAGUCAACUUGACCGAAAUGGUCAGUUGACCCCUUUAGGAGUUAUUACCCUUUAUAGUCAAUUUUUAACCAUUUUUCGUAAAUCUUAGUUAUCUUUGACAGAAAUCUUCUCCUCUGAAACUACUGGGCCAAAUUAAUCCAAACUUGGCCACAAUCAUCUUUGGGGUAUAUAAUUUUAAAAAUGUGUCCGGUGACCCGGCCAUCAAAUCAAGAUGGCCGCCACAGCUAAAAAUAGAACAUAGGGGUAAAAUGCAGUUUUUGGCUUAUAACUCAAAAACCAAAGCAUUUAGAGCAAAUCUGACAUGGGAUAAAAUUGUUUGUCAGGUCAACAUCUAUCUGCCC